UUGAAACACCUGUUCUUGUGCGAUCACUGAAGUUAAGCAAUGUCGAGCCUGGUCACUGCCUAGAUGGGCAACCGCUUGGGAAUACCAGGUGCU